GUAACAUUACUUUCUUAUUGCAUGUGGAAGUUCUUCACUCAAUUCACUGUUUACUUUGGAAGUACCCUGUUUGGAAACUGGACUGCUGAACACCAGGAUUACUACAAGCAUUCAAGAUGAGAAAUGUUAGAAUUGUAUAAAGUCAUGCUAUUUGAAUUAAUUCUUCUAAUAUUUGUGGGAAUACUUAGUGUUGGCAAUAGUAAAACCCUAAAAUGAAAAUUUAUGAGGCCACCUAAGGCCAGCUGUGCUUUCAUAUUUAUUGGAAAGUUCUUUCUCCUCCUUGGUUAAGCAGCACAGAUCAAAUGGCAGUUUCAUAUUUGGCCAUUUCUUGUGCCCUGGGGCCAUAGGUGCCUGUUGCACUUCACGCUGAUAAGCAAAAUAAGGGCUGUAACAAGUAAUAAAAAACUCUGUAAACUCAUUGACUGUAACUCUGAAUACCUGCUUCCCAAUGAGAAGGGGAGCACUUUCAAUUUUUUUAUAGUCACAGCUAGCCAAAAAUGCAAUUAUUUUUACAAUACCUUCUGACCAAAGCAGCCUAUAAGAGAAUGAAGAAUCCAAGGAGAAUGCCUUCACGUUUCUGUGAUUUUCAUCAUGUUUCAGUGCUUCUGAAGAGCUCGGCGUUACAAAAGUGACACCAUUGAGGUGCUGUGAGAAGACAUAAAGAUAAGCCAAUGUUUCCAUGGGAUCUCCUGUAAGUUGCAGGACACAACUUGCGAAGCAGCUCUUGCACGCAGACCCCUGGGCAGCAUCUGUGUAGGUCUCCUGGAGAAACGAAGCAGUGCAGUGAAAGGACUUCUGAUGUUAGAGGCAGUGAGUAAGACCAGAAGUGGCUGGUGAAGGAUUCCCUCUCCGGAUUAUCAAAAAGCUGUUAGUUGCCCUUCCAAGAAAGCCCUCCAAGCAGAUAUGAGGAUGACAGCUUUUUGAUGUCAGUCUCAUCUCACAUAAGGAUACGACCUCACUGUGACUGAUGCAAGUUGUCAGGUCCAACAUUUUGUACAAUCAAAAUGCAAGUGAUUGUAAAAUUAACUUAGAACAAGCCAAACAAAGUCAGCACAGAGCAGGCGAGUGUGCCAGAAGCUGUCCGUGAUGCAAUUACUGGCAUUUUUCAGACUGCUUGUUUGCAUUUCUGCUUCUGAGUGGGACAGUCAGAUCAUUUAUGGAUGUAGUCUCUAAAAUCUGCACUCAGGAAACAGUUGUGUCUUUAUCGCAGUCCUUGUGAUUCUUCUCAAGUUAUCAAAAGGAGAAAGUAAAGCCAACCUAGGAGAUAAAUGAAUAGGUGAAAGCAUUUUACAUGAGCUCUUGAAAACUUGUAUCACCCAUUAAAGAGUCAAUAUAUUGCCUGAGCAAAAUAUCAAGUGUUCGUUCAUUAUCUCUUAACUCAUGUCAUUAGAGAAUGAGCAAGAUCGGCUUAUACAAAACAGGCCAUUCACCCUACUUCAUGUAGCCAUGACAAUACAGAGUUUCUGUGAAGUACAAUUUAUCAGACUAGUUGUGCUGAGUCACGUGCAGCCUUGCAUUUUCACAGCAGUGUGAAAAGCUGAGGAGAACUUCUUGCACCACGUCUUUAAGCUUUGUAAUUUUGCAGGCUUCUCAACUGUGUGCUCAGGAUUUCUAAGUUCACUGUUCAUAAAAUGAAAAUAUACAGACUGAAUUAGAACAGAGCUUAUACCAUUUUCCUGCUAAAAGAGGCUAACAAACUAAACAUAAGACCACAAUGAUGAUUGUACUGAAUAUGAUUUCUUGUUUAGUUGCUGUUCUGGUUACUGAGUCAUCUGGAAAAAAAAUGUAAUAGUUACAUUGUUUUUCUUGGGUUUGGAGUGGAAGGAAUUUGAAAAAUUCUGUUUUUCAAACAUUUUUCUGUAUUUUAAUUUUAUUCUUAUUUUUCAUGAGAAAUUAAAAUUACCAGAAAAAAAACAUGCAGAGUUGUAAUAACAAAAUCAGUUUCUCAGUAGAGCGCAUGACCAGAGCCUCCAUUUUUUUUUGUUUUUGAAAUGUAUUUCUAGUCCUAAUCCUCAUAUAGUAAAUAUUUACAUGGGAAUUAUAUAGCUUGUUAAUCAAAAUUAACAUAAAUAUCAGAGAUGGUGUUGUGGGGAAAAGAGAAAAAGCUUCUACGGAUAUCCUAAAUCCUUGAUGAUGCUUUUGUUUUCCUCCUGUUGAUUUAUUCUGUAUUGAGAAAGGAUCUGUAGUAGAAAAAGAAUGCUUGAUAAAAAAAGUAGAGUUUAAAUUCCCAGACUUACACGUGUUUAAAUUGUCAUUCUCAACCUUUUAUUUUGUGGAAUUAUGUCAAAUCAGUGAAAUAUGUGAUUAGCUUUGGAA